rnacentral:rRNA from 1 species
AUUAAACGCUGGCGGCAUGCCUUACACAUGCAAGUCGAACGGCAGCACGGGGGCAACCUUGGUGGCGAGUGGCGAACGGGUGAGUAAAGCAUCGGAACGUGCCCUGGAGUGGGGGAUAACGUAGCGAAAGUUACGCUAAUACCGCAUAUUCUGUGAGCAGGAAAGCAGGGGAUCGCAAGACCUUGCGCUCUGGGAGCGGCCGAUGUCGGAUUAGCUAGUUGGUGGGGUAAAGGCCUACCAAGGCGACGAUCCGUAGCGGGUCUGAGAGGAUGAUCCGCCACACUGGGACUGAGACACGGCCCAGACUCCUACGGGAGGCAGCAGUGGGGAAUUUUUGGGACAAUGGGGCGAAAGCCUGAUCCAGCCAUGCCGCGUGAGUGAAGAAGGCCUCGGUUGUAAG